rnacentral:rRNA from 1 species
CGGAGGGAUCAUUACCGAGUUUACAAACUCCCAACCCUUUGUGAACCUUACCUAUCGUUGCUUCGGCGGG